UUUUAACAUGAGAGUUUGAUCCUGGCUCAGGAUGAACGCUGGCGGCGUGCCUAACACAUGCAAGUCGAACGAAGCGCUUUUCCCGAAUUUUCGGAGGAGGGGAGAGUGACUGAGUGGCG
rnacentral:rRNA from 1 species